CCACAGCAGAGCAGUUGGCAGAUGUUUCUCUGUGAGACAGCCCCCAGGGGUAAUGGCCAGGGAUCCUAGAGGGAGCUGCGCUGGGGGCUAGGACCAGAGCUAGCCCAGGGGAAAGCCAAGGCCACACGGACUGGUGCGCACAGGGGCAGCUGUGGCCAGCGAGGGAACCAGGGACAGCUCCUUACAGACAUCUCCUAUCUCAAGUCCGGAAGGAGGCACCUUUGACCCUAAGUGUGGAUGAGGCUCCAGAGUGGCCAGGUGGGGCCUGGGCCUGGCCCCAGGCUGCUCUGGGCUCUGCUGCUGCUGGGCCUGGUCGUGGGUGCCCAGGACCUGUGGACCCCAACAGCAGCACCCCAGAGCAGGGCCCUGGGCCCUGGAGGCCCUGUAGGAAGCAGCCGGUUCAACCUGCGGAUCCCAUGGCACAGGCUGCCUUCCUGCCCAGGCCCCCAAGAGGCAGGCCCCAGGUGCUGGCCCCACGGGUUUUGGUCUGAGUCUCAGUCAUGGUGGUAUAUCUUUGGCAGUGGGACCCAGCUCUCAGUCACAGGUCAGCCUGUGGUCGCCCCCUUGGUCACUCUGUUUCCACCCUCCUCAGAGGAGCUCAAGGCCAACAAGGCCACCCUGGUGUGUCUGAUCAGUGACUUCUACCCAGGCACAGUGACAGUGGCCUGGAAGGCAGAUGGAGUCACCAUCACCCAGGGUGUGGACACCACCCAGCCCUCUAAACAGAGCAACAACAAGUACAUGGCCAGCAGCUUCCUCAGCCUUUCACGUGGACAGUGGACAUCGCAUAGCCGCUUCACUUGCCAGGUCACCCAUGAGGGGAAAACCACGGAGAAGAGCGUGGCCCCUGCACACUGUCCUUAGGGACCAACUCUCACCCACCCAUGGGGUCUGGAAGCUGCAGGACCCCAGGAAAGGGCUUCUCCUUCCACCCCUUCCCUGAUAUCCUGGCCCUCCCCACCCCUGCAUCCAAUAAACUCUCA